GAGUAAGAUAGAUUCGUUAGUAAAUUGACACAUAUACUUCAACAAUGUUCUAUAAACUGUUUGUCAUUGUCGCUAUGCUGGCAGGAGCCCUGGCUGCUCCAAAACCUGCUCCAUCACCUCAAUAUCUGACGUAUACAGCAGGCUUGGACUACAUUUAUCCAGGAAAUGUUCCAUCUGCUAUCUCGCCGUAUUCUUCAUCAUUCUACCCUCUUUCAUAUGGUGGAUAUCCUACAGAAUACUACCUGCGCAGAAAAUAAAAUAUAACUGAUUUUUUUUUAAUCUACUGACUAUAUUAAUAAAUACUUAUAGUUAUAAUU